rnacentral:rRNA from 1 species
GACGAACCGUGCGAACGUUGUUCGGAAUCACUGGGCUUAAAGGGCGCGUAGGCGGACUAUCAAGUCUGGGGUGAAAUCCCGCGGCUCAACCGUGGAACUGCCUCAGAUACUGACGGUCUCGAGGGAGGUAGGGGCGUGCGGAACUGUAGGUGGAGCGGUGAAAUGCGUUGAUAUCUACAGGAACUCCGGUGGCGAAAGCGGCGCGCUGGACCUCUUCUGACGCUGAGGCGCGAAAGCUAGGGGAGCAAACGGGAUUAGAAACCCUUGUAGU